rnacentral:tRNA from 2 species
CGGGGCGUGGCGCAGCCCGGUAGCGCGCAUGGUUCGGGACCAUGAGGUCGCUGGUUCAAAUCCAGUCGCCCCGA